rnacentral:sRNA from 1 species
ACGCUUAAUGAAUUUUAGUGACUUGCCAACCAAGAACGCCCGAUAACUCUGCACAGUGGCGAGAAUCAGUUUCCCUGGUGUUGGCGCUAUAUUCGCGCACCCCGGCUUACGU